UCCGGUUGAUCCUGCCGGAGGCUACCGCUAUUGGAGUUCGAUUAAGCCAUGCGAGUCGAGAGUCCUCGGGACUCGGCGUACCGCUCAGUAACACGUGGGUAACCUGCCCUAUGCUGGGGAAUAACCUCGGGAAACUGAGAAUAAUGCCCCAUAGCCCACUACGCCUGGAACGGUGAGUGGGUCAAAGCCCCGGCGGCAUAGGAUGGGCCUGCGCCGUAUCAGGUUGUAGGGGGUGUAAAGUACCCUCUAGCCAUCAACGCGUACGGGUGUUGGGAGACAUUGCCCGGAGAUGGAUUCUGAGACACGAAUCCAGACCCUACGGGGUGCAGCAGGCGCGGAAACUUGGCAAUGCGAGAAAUCGUGACCAGCGAACUCCAAGUGCGUAGGGUAAGACCUACGCUUUUCUUGACUCUUCAAAGGUCUUGGAAUAAGGGGUGGGUAAGGACGGUGCCAGCCGCCGCGGUAAUACCGGCGCCUCAAGUGGUAGUCGCUUUUAUUGGGCCUAAAACG
rnacentral:rRNA from 1 species